ensembl:lncRNA
GUAAUUUUGGUUUUUGUUUAAAGGUUUGCUGUUGCCUCCCUAAGCCUUACUUGCAAAAUUAAUUCAAAUUGGCUUGGAUAAGAACACUGUCAUGAAGAUUAAAAACUGGCUGAAAGACUACAAACAAAGGGUGUCUUGAGGGUACCACAGGGAUCACUGCUAGAACUAGUCAUUUUUAACAUCCUUAUUAAUGAUCUGGGAGAGUGUCGACACAUGCUAAUAAAAUUAACUUGUGAUACAAAAUUGCAUGGGGAUAGAGAAGGUUAAGGGAAUGAUACAAGGGCUGUAGAGAGAUUAGAAACACUGCCAGAAGUACCGUGCCAGAAGUACCGUAAUAAGAUUCAAAUUCAAGAAAAUGCAGCCCAGUUAGAUCUCAUAAUGAGAAUCAGAAAAGAAAUAAUAUAGUUGAAGGGAGAAAGCUGAAAGCAACUAUGCAGAAAAACACUUACGGUAGGAGUAAUAGUCAACAACAAAUUGAACCUGUGUCAGCCAUGCAAGAGGGCAGCAAAUGAGGACAAAGAAAAUCAGUGCCGGCUAUAGUCUGAUCAUAGGUGCGGGGAGUGAUGAGCUGUAAGACUGUGGACUCAACUCUCAGCAGUUUAUGCAGCAAUAUUGUUAGAUGUGAAACGCUGCCUGAAAGAAAGUGUGUCCCAGUGUGGCUCCACUGCUUAAAUGAGAAAGUGCUGAAAAUCUGUCCUUCACUCCAAUGGGAUCUAUACAAGUAGUAUUCGUCAUCCACAGUGAUGUUUUUGGAGCGGGAAGAUGUAAUGUAAUGCUGAUGAUGCAACCCCAGACAGUCAUUUCUGUGUAAUAGCUUCAGGCUCAGAAAGCCUGAUCUGCCUCCUGAACAACCGUCACAGGCUUCGCCCCCACGUCUGCGUGGAUGAGGGGACCCAGGAACCAGUUGGAGAAUCAGGAGUUUGCUUAAACUUUAGCGAUAUCUUUCACCUUGAAAUAUUGAUCCCCUAGCUAUAUGCUGCGAUAAAGUUUGCAUUAGAAAUACUGGUACUUUCAGCAUCUCUUGGCUCAGUCUGCAUGUUACUGGCUACUACAGUUUUGUUUUAUCCUUCACUUUGUUAUAGGAUAUCUGCAUCACAUACAGAGUAUAAAAAGGAAUGGAGCGAAUGAGUAAUGCAGCCCUAGUGGGAUUAAAGGCAGAAUUAGGAGACUUUUCUGCUUGAAACAGGUUUAUUUGAUUCAUUUUUAGUGCUUGCUGUUAUAAAGGACAGAGAUCAACAACAACAUAAGACAAGAAUCAGAUUAUUCCUUUGUUAUCCUGCUGUACACAAAGCUGUAACAACAUUUACAAAAUAGUAAUGAAUGACAUUGUUUUCUAGAUGAGACUGUGUGGACUUAUGACAGCUUUCUGCUUCAUUUUUUGUGUUCUAAGCACAAGCAAAGAUGACUAUCUGCAAAAAUAUUAAAUAUAUGACUUCUGAAGAAUCUCAGAAAGGUUAAGAAUUACAGUAUUAACCAUUCCAUCUUCGUUCCACUGAGAAUUUCCAUGAUAAGUUUGCACAGAAAAUUUGAUUUUCUGUGUAUAGAUGCAAGAGAUUUUACCACUUUUCCGUAAAACCUCUUUAAUGGUCUAAGCUAACAUGGUAAAUGUUAAGUAUCUUUGGAAAAGUUUUGAAAAACUACUGCCACAAAAUUAAUCUGAGGCUGAACAAUUUGAAUUUUUUGUCCUUAUAAUCAAAAGCUAAGAGGAAAAAUUCGGAAAAAAAAAAAACUUGCUUUGUUGUUGGAAGCUGGAAAAUUGUUUGACCUGUG